CAGUCGCCGCGGGAAUACGUAGGUGGCAAGCGUUGUCCGGAAUUAUUGGGCGUAAAGGGCUCGCAGGCGGUUUCUUAAGUCUGAUGUGAAAGCCCCCGGCUCAACCGGGGAGGGUCAUUGGAAACUGGGAAACUUGAGUGCAGAAGAGGAGAGUGGAAUUCCACGUGUAGCAGUGAAAUGCGUAGAGAUGUGGAGGAACACCAGUGGCGAAGGCGACUCUCUGGUCUGUAACUGACGCUGAGGAGCGAAAGCGUGGGGAGCGAACAGGAUUAGAUACCCCAGUAGUCCCUGUCUCUUAUAA
rnacentral:rRNA from 1 species